GGAACAAAUCAUGUGAUUCAUACAUUAAGAGACAGUCCAUAUAUGCUGUGUCAGCAGAGGAUCUAUUUGAACUGGAAGGCCCUGUGAAAUACUAUGCUAACAGACCUAUUGUGACCUGGUGCAAGCUUGAAAAAAACAGCUGUUUAAAUCUUGGGGAUAGAUUUUAAGGUCAAGGGUUGGGCAGAAAAGAAAGUAUUUCAGUUCUUCUUCUGCAUUUUAAUCAAGUGCUUGUUGGUGACAACGGGUCAUACACUGUUCUAUGAAUUCUUUGUCUGGACUCAUGGAAAGCCCCUCAGUUACUGUUAAUGCGACAGAACGGACUCAAAAUAAUUCAGAGCACCCUCUUGUAAUCGCCCUCCUGUUUCACCACUUUUCUUGAGGCAGCUGGAACUUCACAAAAAAAAGGGGAACAAUUGAAGCCUUCUGAUACAACAGGAAGUGAAAUUUACCUGGUAUGUUCAAUGUACCUGUUAAAACUAAUGCAAUCUAUGUUACAACUUGCUAAUAUUCAUGUGGUUUUUUUUUUUUGUUUUGUUUUGUUUUUGUCUUUUUAGGGCCGUACCAUGGCAUAUGGAGGUUCCCAGGCUAGGGUCAAAUUGGAGAGGUAGCCACUGGCCUACACCAUAGCCACAGCAACCUUAGAUCUGAGCUCCAUCUGUGACCUAUACCCCAGCUCAUGGCAACGCUGUAUCAUUAACUCAUUGAGGAUCAUUAAUCCAUCCUCACAGAUGCUAGUCAGAUUCAUUUCCACUGAGCCAUGAUGGGAACUCCAAUAUUCAUGUAUUUUUAAAAAUUUAAUGAGUCUAUGUAACACUUACCAUGUGCCCUGCACUGUUCUAAACGCUGUAUGUAUUGACUUACUUUUGAAAUAUGGGUUUUUUUUCUAACCUUUAUCUUGAUCUGAAGUAACGAGUCUUCAGGAUUAACAAAUCACAUAUUAAAUAGUUCUUUGGAAGGGCAUGGAUGGCAGUGCAGAGCCUAAGCAGAAAAGUGAGAUGCUGAACUGUAUAACCUUGGCUCUGUUCUUGGCCUGGUAUGUGACUUCAAGCUGUUCACCUAUUCUCACAAAAAUGCCUUAAAGUCUGUCCAGAAGAGAGUUGGGAGUUAAUAAAAGAGUGAGUCAGGAGUUCUGUCAUGGCGCAGUGGAAACAAAUCCGACUAGGAACCAUGAGGUUGAGGGUUCGAUCCCUGGCCUCGAUCAGUGGGUUAAGGAUCCGGCAUUGCCAUAAGCUGUGGUUGUAGGUCAGAGAUGUGGCUCGGAUCUGGUGUUGCUGUGGCUCUGGCGUAGGCCAGCAGCUGUAGCUCCGAUUAGACCCCUAGCCUGGGAACCUCCAUAUGCCGCAGGUAUGGCCCUAAAAAGGAAAAAAAUAAAAUAAAAAAAAAUAGAAGAAUGAAUCAUAAAUAA
rnacentral:lncRNA from 1 species